rnacentral:rRNA from 1 species
GAUGAACGCUGGCGGCGUGCCUAAUACAUGCAAGUCGAGCGAACAGACGAGGAGCUUGCUCCUCUGACGUUAGCGGCGGACGGGUGAGUAACACGUGGAUAACCUACCUAUAAGACUGGGAUAACUUCGGGAAACCGGAGCUAAUACCGGAUAAUAUAUUGAACCGCAUGGUUCAAUAGUGAAAGACGGUUUUGCUGUCACUUAUAGAUGGAUCCGCGCCGCAUUAGCUAGUUGGUAAGGUAACGGCUUACCAAGGCGACGAUGCGUAGCCGACCUGAGAGGGGGAUCGGCCACCCUGGAACUGAGGCACGGUCCAGACUCCUACGGGAGGCAGCAGUAGGGAAUCUUCCGCAAUGGGCGAAAGCUUGACGGAGCAACGCCGCGUGAGUGAUGAAGGUCUUCGGAUCGUAAAACUCUGUUAUUAGGGAAGAACAAAUGUGUAAGUAACUAUGCACGUCUUGACGGUACCUAAUCAGAAAGCCACGGCUAACUACGUG